CAGCAGCCACGGUAAAACGUAGGUGGCAGGCGUUGUCCGGAGUUAUUGGGCGUAAAGGGCUCGCAGGCGGUUUCUUAAGUCUGAUGUGAAAGCCCCCGGCUCAACCGGGGAGGGUCAUUGGAAACUGGGAAACUUGAGUGCAGAAGAGGAGAGUGGAAUUCCACGUGUAGCGGUGAAAUGCGUAGAGAUGUGGAGGAACACCAGUGGCGAAGGCGACUCUCUGGUCUGUAACUGACGCUGAGGAGCGAAAGCGUGGGGAGCGAACAGGAUUAGAUACCCCCGUAGUCCCUGUCUCUUAUAC
rnacentral:rRNA from 1 species